UGAGUAACGCGUGGGUAACCUGCCCUAUACACAUGGAUAACAUACUGAAAAGUUUACUAAUACAUGAUAAUAUAUAUUUACGGCAUCGUAGAUACAUCAAAGUGUUAGCGGUAUAGGAUGGACCCGCGUCUGAUUAGCUAGUUGGUGAGAUAACUGCCCACCAAGGCGACGAUCAGUAGCCGACCUGAGAGGGUGAUCGGCCACAUUGGAACUGAGACACGGUCCAAACUCCUACGGGAGGCAGCAGUC
rnacentral:rRNA from 1 species